CGCGUGUGAACGGCAGAGAGAAGGAAACGUCGUGUCAAAAGGAAGGCAGCGCGCGAAGAGAUGACGAACAUACUUCAAUCGCAGAGGUCCAGUGUAAUGGUGAAUGAACUGGGUCAAAGGGCAGGUCCUUAGUCUCCCCUCCUCUCCUCUCCUCAGAGCAGUAAAAGCUCUUCGCCCUUCAGACGGUAACCCACGUCUUGCAGGCUGCUGCAGGAAUGCUGCCUGCCUGCUGCUGGGUCAAUGACAAAACUCGUCACCCAGAGAAUUAGGCCCAAAGAAAAGAGAAAAAGAA